rnacentral:rRNA from 1 species
UAUGCAUGCAUGCCACCCUGAACAUGCCUGAUCUUGCCUAAUUCAGAAGCUAAGCAGGAUUGAGCCUGAUUAGUACUGGGGUGGGAGAAAUACCAACCAGAUGCUCUAU